UAGUUAUGUUCUAAGUCAAACUUCUAUAACGCUGACAAAGUUUAUAGAAAAAUAUAUUAACAUCUACAAUACCAAAUAAAUGUACUAUCAAGACAUUUCAUAGUGGAUUUAAUGAAACUCAUUUGAUGCUGUAGAUGUUGGUGUAUUUUUCUAUACAUUUGGUCAAAGUUAGAGAAAUUUGACUUGGGACAAAAACAU
rnacentral:pre_miRNA from 1 species